rnacentral:rRNA from 1 species
ACGCUAGCUACAGGCUUAACACAUGCAAGUCGAGGGGCAGCAUGGUCUUAGCUUGCUAAGGCCGAUGGCGACCGGCGCACGGGUGAGUAACACGUAUCCAACCUGCCGUCUACUCUUGGACAGCCUUCUGAAAGGAAGAUUAAUACAAGAUGGCAUCAUGAGUCCGCAUGUUCACAUGAUUAAAGGUAUUCCGGUAGACGAUGGGGAUGCGUUCCAUUAGAUAGUAGGCGGGGUAACGGCCCACCUAGUCUUCGAUGGAUAGGGGUUCUGAGAGGAAGGUCCCCCACAUUGGAACUGAGACACGGUCCAAACUCCUACGGGAGGCAGCAGUGAGGAAUAUUGGUCAAUGGGCGAGAGCCUGAACCAGCCAAGUAGCGUGAAGGAUGACUGCCCUAUGGGUUGUAAACUUCUUUUAUAAAGGAAUAAAGUCGGGUAUGCAUACCCGUUUGCAUGUACUUUAUGAAUAAGGAUCGGCUAACUCCGUGCCAGCAGCCGCGGUAAUACGGAGGAUCCGAGCGUUAUCCGGAUUUAUUGGGUUUAAAGGGAGCGUAGAUGGAUGUUUAAGUCAGUUGUGAAAGUUUGCGGCUCAACCGUAAAAUUGCAGUUGAUACUGGAUAUCUUGAGUGCAGUUGAGGCAGGCGGAAUUCGUGGUGUAGCGGUGAAAUGCUUAGAUAUCACGAAGAACUCCGAUUGCGAAGGCAGCCUGCUAAGCUGCAACUGACAUUGAGGCUCGAAAGUGUGGGUAUCAAACAGGAUUAGAUACCCUGGUAGUCCACACGGUAAACGAUGAAUACUCGCUGUUUGCGAUAUACAGCAAGCGGCCAAGCGAAAGCGUUAAGUAUUCCACCUGGGGAGUACGCCGGCAACGGUGAAACUCAAAGGAAUUGACGGGGGCCCGCACAAGCGGAGGAACAUGUGGUUUAAUUCGAUGAUACGCGAGGAACCUUACCCGGGCUUAAAUUGCAGAUGAAUUACGGUGAAAGCCGUAAGCCGCAAGGCAUCUGUGAAGGUGUUGCAUGGUUGUCGUCAGCUCGUGCCGUGAGGUGUCGGCUUAAGUGCCAUAACGAGCGCAACCCUUGUUGUCAGUUACUAACAGGUUCCGCUGAGGACUCUGACAAGACUGCCAUCGUAAGAUGUGAGGAAGGUGGGGAUGACGUCAAAUCAGCACGGCCCUUACGUCCGGGGCUACACACGUGUUACAAUGGGGGGUACAGAGGGCCGCUACCACGCGAGUGGAUGCCAAUCCCAAAAACCUCUCUCAGUUCGGACUGGAGUCUGCAACCCGACUCCACGAAGCUGGAUUCGCUAGUAAUCGCGCAUCAGCCACGGCGCGGUGAAUACGUUCCCGGGCCUUGUACACACCGCCCGUCAAGCCAUGGGAGCCGGGGGUACCUGAAGUGCGUAACCGCGAGGAGCGCCCUAGGGUAAAACUGGUAAUUGG